CCUGACGCGGCCCACGGCAACAUGGAGGAUUCCACAGAAGCCCAGGUUGCUGAGGGGUCACCUGCCCCAGUGAAGGGGACAGGGAGUGGCUGACGUGGAAGCCAGAAGACCCAGAUGAGCAAGGUAGUCUGAGAAGCAACCUUCAGCGGCUCUCAAUGCCCAUUCCAGAGUCCUGAGUGAGGCUAUGGAUAAACAGGUACAGAACCAUCUUCUGGGAUCUAGGUUGGUCUCCUCCACAAAGCAAGUUCACACAAGUACAAUCCUGCCCAGCCAUGACCUACCCAUAAGGCAGAGUUUCUUGACCUUAGCACGUUAGAGGCUGGACAAUUCUUGAUUGUAGGGGUAUUGGUAUACCUUGUAUCCCAAGCCUCUCCCCACUAGAUGACUGUAGCACCUUCUCCCCCACCAGUUUAACAACCCAAAGCAACUCCAGACAUCAUCAAAUAUCCCUAUGCUGGCCCAAAUCACCCCUGAUUAAGCAACACUAAUCUGCAGUCAUGUCCACUGGAAGAUGUACUCAGCCCCAAAGGAGAGACUGAGCUAGUCGAGCGGACCUCAUCAUCCCUAAUACGUGGCAGACACGAUGCCACCCUAUCCCUUGUCUUCCCUCUUGGAGCCUCUACUGAGGGCAAUCCCACAAAGUGAGAACGUGUACCUCUCCUUACGUACUCUCCUUCAUCCACGCUCCUCGAAUACAAAUUCCCGGAAUGCAGGAACUACAUCCAACACUCUGAGUUGAUGGAAAGUCCCGAAGAGCAAAGGCUCCGUUUCCAUCUCCAGCCUUCCCUUCCUCCACUUCAGAGCUCAAAGAAAUACUUCUCAUUCCCACGGUUGCCCCUCACUGGCACACCCUUUACCCUGCUGUGCCGCUUAGUUCCCUCGUGCCUGGUAAAACCAGACCCACUGCUUCUCAUGGGACACCAUCCUGGACCGCUUCUCUGCUGCUUCCCAGGACCUUCAUUUCCUCGAUUUCAUUGGAGAAAGCAAGACCUGAGUCUAAUGAACAUCCUAUCCCCCAGGAGCCAGGCCAGAUCCACAAUCCUUUACCUAUGAUCCCCAAAUCCAAAAAGCUCUGAAAACGGACAGAACUUCUGUAUAAUGGUGGCAAAACCUGA